AUACGGAGGAUGCAAGCGUUAUCCGGAUUUACUGGGUUUAAAGGGUGCGCAGGCGGGAGAUUAAGUCGGCGGUGAAAUUUUGCAGCUCAACUGUAAAAGUGCCUUCGAAACUGGGUUUCUUGAGUGUAGAUGAAGGAGGCGGGAUUUGUGGUGUUGCGGUGAAAUGCAUAGAUAUCACGAGGAACUCCGAUUGCGCAGGCAGCUUACUAAACUACUACUGACGCUCAGGCACGAAGGCGUGGGGAUCAAACAGGAUUAGAUACCCUGGUAGUCCACGCAGUAAACGAUGAUUACUAGCUGUUUGCGAUACAAUGUAAGCGGCUGAGCGAAAGCGUUAAGUAAUCCACCUGGGGAGUACGUUCGCAAGAAUGAAACUCAAACGAAUUGGCGGGG
rnacentral:rRNA from 1 species